rnacentral:rRNA from 1 species
UGGGGAAUAUUGCACAAUGGGCGCAAGCCUGAUGCAGCCAUGCCGCGUGUAUGAAGAAGGCCUUCGGGUUGUAAAGUACUUUCAGCGGGGAGGAAGGCGAUAAGGUUAAUAACCUUGUCGAUUGACGUUACCCGCAGAAGAAGCACCGGCUAACUCCGUGCCAGCAGCCGCGGUAAUACGGAGGGUGCAAGCGUUAAUCGGAAUUACUGGGCGUAAAGCGCACGCAGGCGGUCUGUCAAGUCGGAUGUGAAAUCCCCGGGCUCAGCCUGGGAACUACAUUCGAAACUGGCAGGCUAGAGUCUUGUAGAGGGGGGUAGAAUUCCAGGUGUAGCGGUGAAAUGCGUAGAGAUCUGGAGGAAUACCGGUGGCGAAGGCGGCCCCCUGGACAAAGACUGACGCUCAGGUGCGAAAGCGUGGGGAGCAAACA